CUUGUGCAUUGAUGUGUGCGGUUUUGUGGAUACAGCUCUGGGUGCUUGGUUACUGGGAGAAUGGACAGAGGCCCAGUGCCAGAACAUCUGGAGACAGGAAUCGAAUUCGGCCAAGAGUUACUGGCCAGUGAAUGGGGGAUAUCAAUUUGAUCUGGUGCCCUGGGAAAGUGGAACACCAUGCUUCUCCUCUGCUACAUGUAGCCAUUGAUCAAUCUUUAAACAUUAAACUAAUGUCCAUGAUGCACACUGGCAAUUUAAUGAUCAAGAUCCUCUGUGAUGACAUGAUGCCAUCAAUCUUCACAAGACCUCCUGAACCACCAGCCACAAAAUGGCCCCAAAACAGCAAAGAUCCACCUCUACAUUUUACAGUGGGGUAUCAUGCACUUUACCUUGUAUGGAGUCCCCUUGUGUUACAAAACAUGCUGAUGGUGUGCAUGACUAAUAACUUUCAAUUUAGUCUCAUCUGACCACAACACACAACUGUAGUUCUAAUGACACUUUGUAGUUCAGGCACAACAAUUUUGGGAGAUGGGAAAGGAAGAACUUUCUUGCAAUAGAUCCAAACAGCUUGUUGUUAUGGAAGUGUUGUUUUACAGUUGACUCGGGGAAAUAGUGAGGAUCCAUGCACAGAACUUUUAUUACUAACACAAUCUAGAUUCCAUGAAAUUUUGUCAUCAAGCAGUUCCAGGUCAUAUUUUGGGUGCAAGGAAGGUCCAUUCGUAUUAUGGGUGCAAGGUCACAGGCAGAGAUCGAUACACGAUGGUACAAACGAGAGAAAUUGAGAAACUGGGGUGGUCUGUGUUUUCCUUGUGGAAGUCAUUGAUGAGAGCAGGGUCAAGAAUGUCCCUGGCAGGACCUACCCUCUUGGCUAUAGUCCUCCCAGUCCACCAGGUAGUACAUUACAUUGCCCCAUUACUUGGAGUGAUGUUGCUCGCGGACACUGUAUGCAGGUGUUCCCUUGACCGUCACAGGCAGUGGUGGCUGAACUCCAGUUACCAGGUUUUGGGUAGAUGGAAAAUAUGGUUUAAGCAGAGAGGCAUUGUAGGUAGAGACAAUUCUGUAUGUAGGUGGCAUAUCAAGCAUAUAAGAAACUGGGUUUAUUUGUCUAAGAAUGAAAAAGGGAGCGAUGAAAUGCAGAUUUAACUCUUGAGAUGGGAGUUUCUGUUUCAGAUCACGGAUAGCCAGACCAUCUGCUUGGGUUGUAGUGGUGGGUGUGGCUGAUGAUUUUAGUCUGCUUAAUAUUGAAAAUACCUCUUUAAAGAUGCCUUUGGAAAAGGGCCCAAUCAACAAGCUUUAGAAAAUUGGUCUACUAUGGUUAGAAUGGUGGUGUUACCUUGUGAGACCGGGAGCUCAAUAAUAAUCAACUGCAAUAUGCGACCAGGGUCUUCACGGGAUUGGCAGAAGUUCUAGGAGUUCCAGUGAAUGACAUUCCCUAGAAUGGCCUCUGGUACAUAAACAUUCUCUGGUGGGCACUCAGAUGGAGUAGGAUCAUUAUUUUGGACUCCCCUGCCCUCCAUGACACAUGUUGUGCCACAGCAGUGACACAUGUUUCUGGUAAUAUAUAGGGUUUUCUGGAUACAGCAUUAGGAUAGAGCAUCUGCUUUUACAUUGUUGUAUCCAGGUCUAUAGGUCAAGAUGAAAUUGAAACAAGUGAAAAAAACAUGCCCAUCUAGAUUGAUGUGGAUUGAGGCACUUUGCAGACUUAUUCAAUAUUUCAUUGAUUGGUCAGGAUGAGAAAUGUGUGUUCAGCUGCUUCUAGUCAGUGCCUCCAUUCCUCCAAGGUGGCCUUUAUGGUUAGCAGCUCAUGGUUUCCUACAUCGUAAUUUUUUUCUGCUGGGGUUAGCUUAAGUGAGUAAAAGUUACAAGGAUAUAACUUGGCUGGAUUACCAUGACAUUAUGAGAAGACAGCUAUGAUGCCAGUUUCACAUACAUCAACUUUGACUACGAAUGGGACUGAGGGGUUUGGGUGACAAAGAAUGGGGAGCUGGUCAAUUGUUGAAUGGCUUGUUGGUGGCUUCACUGGACCACUUCAUGGUUCUGGGUGACAGUAGAAAUUCAUGAAUUUGCUGAUUUAGGAUGUAGCCUAAAAACAUGAAAGAUAGUUGGUGAAAUGAACAUUUUCCAGCUUUGUUUUCCAAGAGCAUACUGAGGACCUGAUAUACAUGCUGAAUAUGUUCUUUCACUUAUGAUAAGCUCAGUAACUUGUAAACGUACACAAUGGAAAUCUAUUCAAGCACUCUCUCAGAAUUUUAUUAACAAAACCUUGGAAUACUAAAGGAGUAUUUCCUAGGCCAUAUGGCAUCACAAGAUAUUCAUAAUGGCUGGAGGUGGUGAUGAAGGUGAUUUUCCGUUCAUUGUCUUCUCUGAUACGUAUUAGCUUAUGUGCACUUUGAAGUUCCAAUUUGGGAAAAAUUCUAGCUCCUCUUACCUGUUUGAGGGCAGAAGGGACAGGAGACAGUACUUGACAGUAACUGCAGUGAGACCUGGGUAAUCAAUACAAGGUUUUAGCUUGUCAUCUUUCUUUUCCACAAAGAAGAAACCUGCCACUGUGGGAAACAUGGAUGGUCUAAUACAGCUUUGGCUGAUUGCUUCCUUGAUGUACAGUAGUCAUGAAAAGUCCACACACCUCUGUUGAAAUUGCAGGUUUUUGUGAUGAAAAUGAAAAAAAUUAAACCAACAUAAAUCAUAUCAAAUUGUUUCCACCUUUAAUGUGAUCUAACAACCAACAAAAUUCAUGUGAAAAACAAAUAGUAACAUUUUAGGAGGGGGGAAAAAAGAAAAAAAUGCACAAUAACUUCAUUGCAUAAGUGUGCACUCCCUUUUAUAAUGGGGCAUGUGACUGUGCUCAAUCCAAAACAAGAGAAAUUUAGAAACUAGGCAAGGUCAUACAUGGAAUGGAUGUCAAGCACAAAAGGCUCAGAGCUUACACAAGAGUAAACUGUUGGCAAGGCUUUGUGUCCAUGUGGUUUAAAUACUCUACAAGCAGGAAAUAGAAUGAACGAAUGAUGAGUUUUUAGGACCCAGGGGAGGUUGCCCUCUAGUGGCGUGGUGGAGAACUGACCGUGACGGAUGUG